rnacentral:rRNA from 1 species
UACGAAGGGGGCUAGCGUUGUUCGGAAUUACUGGGCGUAAAGCGUGCGCAGGCGGUUUUCCAAGUCAGUGGUGAAAGCCCGGAGCUCAACUCCGGAAUUGCCAUUGAAACUGUUGAACUUGAGUACGAGAGAGGUGAGUGGAAUUCCCAGUGUAGAGGUGAAAUUCGUAGAUAUUGGGAGGAACACCGGUGGCGAAGGCGGCUUUCUGGUCCGAAACUGACGCUGAGAUGCGAAAGCCAGGGGAGCAAACGGG